rnacentral:lncRNA from 1 species
UUUAUCAAAUUGGAUUAUUAUUCAUUAAUAUUAGAAUUAUUAUUCCAUAUAAUUUUUUUAAUUACUUAAAUUUUUACAAUCAUUUUUCUUUACUUCAUAUUGUAUUCUUCUGUACAAUAACUUUAUUAUUUAGGUUCUCUUAAAAAACUUUAUUAUUUAAUUCUUUUGUCUAAUUUUCAUGAAAAAUAAAUGUAGGUACGUUUAAGAUGUCUAGUGGAGCUACUAAACGUGAUCCAGCUUGGGAACAUGGCGACCCAAU